rnacentral:tRNA from 1 species
GAUGAAGUCAGCUAAAUAAGCUUUCGGGCCCAUACCCCGAACAUGACGGUUAAACCCCUUCCUCCAUCA